UACAGAGGCCUCGAGCGUUGUUCGGAAUUACUGGGCGUAAAGGGUAUGUAGGUGGUGACGUAAGUCAGAUGUGAAAGCCCUGGGCUUAACCCGGGAAGUGCAUUUGAUACUGCGUUGCUAGAGUAUGAGAGAGGAAAGCGGAAUUCCAAGUGUAGGAGUGAAAUCCGUAGAUAUUUGGAGGAAUACCGAUGGCGAAGGCAGCUUUCUGGCUCGUAACUGACACUGAGAUUCGAAAGCGUGGGUAGCAAACAGG
rnacentral:rRNA from 1 species